UACGGAGGGUGCGAGCGCUGUCCGGAAUCACUGGGCGUAAAGGGCUCGUAGGCGGCCAACUAAGUCACACGUGAAAUCCCCAGGCUUAACCUGGGAACUGCGUGUGAUACUGGAUGGCUUGAAUCCGGGAGAGGGAUGCAGAAUUCCAGGUGUAGCGGUGAAAUGCGUAGAUAUCUGGAGGAAUACCGGUGGCGAGGGCGGCAUCCUGGACCGGCAUUGACGCUGAUGAGCGAAAGCUAGGGGAGCAAACGGG
rnacentral:rRNA from 1 species